CUGAGGUGACKAGCGGCGGACGGGUGASUAWUGCCUASGGAUCUGCCCAGUCRAGGGGGAUAACAKWUGGAAACKACUGCUAAUACCGCAUACGCCCUACGGGGGAAAGGAGGGGACCUUCGGGCCUUCCGCGAUUGGAUGAACCUAKGUGGGAUUAGCUAGUUGGUGAGGUAAUGGCUCACCAAGGCGACRAUCCCUAGCUGUUCUGAGAGGAUGAUCASCCMCACUGGGACUGAGACACGGCCCAGACUCCUACGGGAGGCASCRGUGGGGAAUAUUGCACAAUGGGGGAAACCCUGAUGCAGCCAUGCCGCGUGUGUGAAGAAGGCCUUCGGGUUGUAAAGCACUUUCAGUAGGGAGGAAAGGURGUGKGUUAAUACCCYAUUGYUGUGACGUUACCUACAGAAGAAGGACCGGCUAACUCCGUGCCAGCMGCCGCGGUAAUACGGAGGGUCCGAGCGUUAMUCGGAAUUACUGGSCGUAAAGCGUGCGCARGCGGUUUGUUAAGCCWSAUGUGAAAUCCCCGGGCUC
rnacentral:rRNA from 1 species